CUGACAUAACAGCAUAACACCAACAUUGGAGUGUAUGGACUGACUGCACAGGGACCCACAUCGGCCUGUAUGGACUGACAGCACAGAGAUCAACAGUGGUCUGUAUGGACUGACUGCACAGAGACCCACAUCGGUCUGUAUGGACUGACAGCACAGAGACCAGCAUUGGUGUGUAUGGACUGACAUAACAGUGUGAUAACACCAAUGUCAGUCUGUACCCACUGAUAUAACAUCAUAACACCAACAUCAGUGUGUAUGGACUGCUAUAAUGCUGUGAUAACACCAAUGUCAGUCUGUGCCCAUUGAUAUAACACCGUCAUAACACCAACAUCAGUGUGUAUGGACUGAUAUAACGCUGUGAUAACACCAAUGUCAGUCUGUGCCCAUUGAUAUAACACCGUAACACCAACAUCAGUGUGUAUGGACUGCUAUAAUGCUGUGAUAACACCAGUGUCAGUCUGUGCCCAUUGAUAUAACACCGUGAUAACACCAACAUCAGUGUGUAUGGACUGAUAUAACACCGUGAUACCACCAACGUCAGUCUGUAUGGACUGACAGCACAGAGACACCGACGUUGGUCUGUAAGGACUGACGUAACAGCAUGAAAGCACCAACAUCAGUCUGUUCUGACUGACAUAACACCACGAGGACACCAACAUCAGUCUGUUCCGACUGACACAACAGCAUGGCAGCACCAAUAUCGGCCUGUAUGGACUGCUGUAACACUGUGAUGGCCC
rnacentral:lncRNA from 1 species